CUUUAAAGGAGGAGAAAUAAGUAUUAUAUGCGUUUUUCUAAAAAGAGUUAUUUUUUGUCACCGCACCUGCGUCAUGACGUCACUGCGCGCUCCAGUGGCAGGCGCGCCCGUGAUGCUCUUCAUACAUGCUGAGUGAACAGUAAAUGAAGACAUCACGAGAGCGCUUGUGUUCAGCGUUUUAUUUCUUUAUUCUUUAUAACUUCAUUUCAGGUUUCCAGCUCUUUUGCCACACGCCUUUUCGGAUACCCUGUUGGAUUAUUCUCAUCGCAUUCAUCCUAAUGUUGGUCCUGUCUUUAAUGUUCAGCUCCAUCGCCAUUAAGGAAAAAAAGGCCUGUUGCCUUUCAUCUAGUUUUUCGCUGCAGUUCUUUUUUUGUGGCCAGAAUUUCUUCAGGAGAUCGUCCAGCUCCUCCUCAUCCUGCUUUGUUUGGGCAUCUGCUAGCUGCGAGGCUAUAUUGUCGCUGUUUUUGUUGCUCUCUUCAGUGGCGCUUUCGUCGUUGGCACUGCUGUCGCUGUCAUAGUUGUUGGGAGAAGUGUUUACCUCACUGACUUGACUUUUAUGCCACUAGGAUACUGUGAACUCCAAGUGCACACUGCUCAAUCAGUCCUGUUCACCACCCACUCUGACUGCCUCACACCGACGUUUAUCUGAAUAACAAACGGGGAUGAUGUUGCAAAAUGGGUCUGCCGCUCAGGGAGUUACUCCAUCGAACAUCUAUCCCAGCGGUGCCUCCAAAAUGUAGUACUUCUGAAAUGAAGUUAUAAAGAAUAAAGAAAUAAAACAUUGAACACAA